GUUAAGUGACUAAGCGUACACGGUGGAUGCCUUGGCAGUCAGAGGCGAUGAAGGACGUAGUAACUUGCGAUAAGCGUAGAUGAGGCAGUAACAGCCACUUGAGUCUACGAUUUCCGAAUGGGGAAACCCACUGGCAUAAGCCAGUAUCAUUGAGUGAAUACAUAGCUCAAUGAAGCGAACCGGGAGAACUGAAACAUCUAAGUACCCCGAGGAAAAGAAAUCAACCGAGAUUCCGAAAGUAGCGGCGAGCGAAAUUGGAUUAGCCCUUAAGCUUUACAUGUGUUAGACGAACGGUCUGGAAAGUCCGACGAUACAGGGUGAUAGUCCCGUAGUUGACGAUGCAUGUUCAGUGAAAUCGAGUAGGGCGGGACACGUGUUAUCCUGUCUGAAUAUGGGGGGACCAUCCUCCAAGGCUAAAUACUCCUGACUGACCGAUAGUGAACCAGUACCGUGAGGGAAAGGCGAAAAGAACCCCUGUGAGGGGAGUGAAAUAGAACCUGAAACCGUGUACGUACAAGCAGUAGGAGCACCUUCGUGGUGUGACUGCGUACCUUUUGUAUAAUGGGUCAGCGACUUAUAUUCAGUGGCAAGGUUAACCAUCUAGGGGAGCCGUAGGGAAACCGAGUCUUAACUGGGCGCCAUAGUCUCUGGAUAUAGACCCGAAACCGAGUGAUCUAGCCAUGGGCAGGUUGAAGGUUGAGUAACAUCAACUGGAGGACCGAACCGACUAAUGUUGAAAAAUUAGCGGAUGACUUGUGGCUAGGGGUGAAAGGCCAAUCAAACUCGGAGAUAGCUGGUUCUCCCCGAAAGCUAUUUAGGUAGCGCCUCGGACGAAUACUACUGGGGGUAGAGCACUGUUAAGGCUAGGGGGUCAUCCCGACUUACCAACCCUUUGCAAACUCCGAAUACCAGUAAGUACUAUCCGGGAGACACACGGCGGGUGCUAACGUCCGUCGUGGAGAGGGAAACAACCCAGACCGCCAGCUAAGGUCCCAAAUUACAGCUAAGUGGGAAACGAUGUGGGAAGGCUUAGACAGCUAGGAUGUUGGCUUAGAAGCAGCCAUCAUUUAAAGAAAGCGUAAUAGCUCACUAGUCGAGUCGGCCUGCGCGGAAGAUGUAACGGGGCUAAGUUGUAAACCGAAGCUGCGGCAAUGUUCUAUGAACAUUGGGUAGGGGAGCGUUCUGUAAGCCGUUGAAGGUGUGUUGUAAAGCAUGCUGGAGGUAUCAGAAGUGCGAAUGCUGACAUGAGUAACGACAAGGGGGGUGAAAAACCUCCCCGCCGGAAGACCAAGGGUUCCUGUCCAACGUUAAUCGGGGCAGGGUAAGUCGACCCCUAAGGCGAGGCUGAAAAGCGUAGUCGAUGGGAAACGGGUUAAUAUUCCCGUACUUCUUACAAUUGCGAUGGGGGGACGGAGAAGGCUAGGUGGGCCUGGCGACGGUUGUCCAGGUUCAAGUGCGUAGGCUGAGUGUUUAGGUAAAUCCGGACACUCUUAAGGCUGAGACACGACGUCGAGCUACUACGGUAGUGAAGUCAUUGAUGCCAUGCUUCCAGGAAAAGCCUCUAAGCUUCAGAUUGUAAGGAAUCGUACCCCAAACCGACACAGGUGGUCGGGUAGAGAAUACCAAGGCGCUUGAGAGAACUCGGGUGAAGGAACUAGGCAAAAUGGUACCGUAACUUCGGGAGAAGGUACGCUCUUGAUGGUGAAGUCCCUUGCGGAUGGAGCUGACGAGAGUCGCAGAUACCAGGUGGCUGCAACUGUUUAUUAAAAACACAGCACUGUGCAAAAUCGUAAGAUGACGUAUACGGUGUGACGCCUGCCCGGUGCCGGAA
rnacentral:rRNA from 1 species